rnacentral:rRNA from 1 species
UACGUAGGGGGCAAGCGUUGUCCGGAAUCAUUGGGCGUAAAGCGCGUGUAGGCGGCUUGGUAAGUCUGCUCUGAAAGCCCGGGGCUCAACCCCGGGAGGCGGGUGGAUACUGUCAAGCUCGAGUCCGGAAGAGGAGUGUGGAAUUCCUGGUGUAGCGGUGAAAUGCGCAGAUAUCAGGAGGAACACCAAUGCCGAAGGCAGCACUCUGGGACGUGACUGACGCUGAGACGCGAAAGCGUGGGGAGCAAACAGG